CCCCAAACAAUGCAUGACGAUGCAUGUAGCAAUGGCAGAGUAGAGUGAUGGUGAUUACAUGAGAUCGGCCCGUCUUUUCUAUCCAAAAUUCUGCAUGGCGGUGACAUUCAUCGCUCUGGUGGUGUGGUGACGUAGCAUCCCACCAUGGCCACUGAAUUACUGGAUCUCGGAGUUGCUGGCUUCCCGCCAGUAGUCAUGGACUUUCUGUUCCGGGCCAAUUCUAGCAGUCUACGUGGGAUACACGCACGACACGGACACCAUACAGUAGGAUAAGUACUAAAACUUAGAAUGUAAGUACACCUAGGAUAUAAGUAACACUUUAAUAAACAUCACCUACAGUUUUGCAUGUAAAA